AGCUUUGUGCAGUGGCAGUAUCAUAUCCAGUAAGGUUUAUGUGAGGCAUGGUUAUGCUAAUUGAAAACUAUAGUAAGGUAAUGAUCAUGCAGGUGAUCUAUGGAUGAUAUAAUGAGAA
rnacentral:snRNA from 14 species